UACGUAGGGGGCUAGCGUUGUCCGGAUUUAUUGGGCGUAAAGAGCGUGUAGGCGGCCAGAUAGGUCUGCUGUGAAAACUCGAGGCUCAACCUCGAGAUGUCGGCGGAAACCAUUUGGCUAGAGUCCGGAAGAGGAAAGUGGAAUUCCUGGUGUAGCGGUGAAAUGCGCAGAUAUCAGGAAGAACACCCGUGGCGAAGGCGGCUUUCUGGGCAGUGGCUGACGCUGAGGCGCGACAGCGUGGGGAGCAAACAGG
rnacentral:rRNA from 1 species